rnacentral:ncRNA from 1 species
CAAAAGCCUGGUCCUGACUUUAAUAUCAGUUUUAACCAAAUUUACACAUGCAAGCACCCGCACCCCAGUGAGAAUGUCCUCUACCCCCCUCUCGGGGGGGAGGAACUGGCAUCAGGCACACACCCGUAGCCCAACACGCCUUGCUCAGCCACGCCCCCAAGGGAGUUCAGCAGUGAUAAACCUUAAGCCAUAAGCGAAAGCUUGACUUAGUUAAAGUUAAAUUCAGAGCCGGUAAAACUCGUGCCAGCCACCGCGGUUAUACGAGAGACUCAAAUUGAUAUUUAACGGCGUAAAGCGUGAUUAGAUAAAAUCUAAAACUAAAGCCAAAUAAAACCUAAGCUGUCAUACGCUAAUGGACUUUGAAGCCCCACAACGAAAGUGGCUUUAUUUAUUCUUGAAUUCACGACCAUUAAGGAACAAACUGGGAUUAGAUACCCCACUAUGCUUAAUUAUAAACAAUGAUGAAUACUUACAAACACCAUCCGCCAGGGGACUACGAGCGCUAGCUUAAAACCCAAAGGACUUGGCGGUGCCUCAAACCCACCUAGAGGAGCCUGUUCUAUAACCGAUAAUCCACGUUUAACCUCACCUCUCCUUGUUAAUACAGCCUAUAUACCGCCGUCGCCAGCUUACCUUAUGAAAGACUAAUAGUAAGCUAAAAGAGUAAUUCCCAAAACGUCAGGUCGAGGUGUAGCUAAUGGAGGGGGAAGAAAUGGGCUACAUUUUCUGACCCAGAACAUUACGGAAGGUCCUAUGAAAAAACACAAUUGAAGGUGGAUUUAGCAGUAAAGAGAAAACAGAGAGUCCUCUUGAAAAUGGCCCUGAGGCGCGUACACACCGCCCGUCACUCUCCUCAAAACUUUAUAUUAUUCAAAUAAAUAAAUAACUACCACAAAAAAGAGGAGGCAAGUCGUAACAUGGUAAGUGUACCGGAAGGUGCACUUGGAAAAAUU